rnacentral:rRNA from 1 species
CCUACGGGCGGCAGCAGUGGGGAAUAUUGGACAAUGGGCGAAAGCCUGAUCCAGCCAUGCCGCGUGUGUGAAGAAGGCCUUCGGGUUGUAAAGCACUUUCAGUGGGGAAGAAAGCCUUGGGGCUAAUACCCUCGAGGAAGGACAUCACCCACAGAAGAAGCACCGGCUAACUCCGUGCCAGCAGCCGCGGUAAUACGGAGGGUGCGAGCGUUAAUCGGAAUUACUGGGCGUAAAGCGCGCGUAGGCGGUCUGAUAAGCCGGUUGUGAAAGCCCCGGGCUCAACCUGGGAACGGCAUCCGGAACUGGCAGGCUAGAGUGCAGGAGAGGAAGGUAGAAUUCCCGGUGUAGCGGUGAAAUGCGUAGAGAUCGGGAGGAAUACCAGUGGCGAAGGCGGCCUUCUGGACUGACACUGACGCUGAGGUGCGAAAGCGUGGGUAGCAAACAGGAUUAGAUCCCCGUGUAGUC